rnacentral:rRNA from 1 species
UACGUAGGGCGCAAGCGUUAUCCGGAAUUAUUGGGCGUAAAGAGCUCGUAGGCGGUUUGUCGCGUCUGCCGUGAAAAGUCCGGGGGCUCAACUCCGGAUCUGCGGUGGGUACGGGCAGACUAGAGUGAUGUAAGGGAGACUGGAAUUCCUGGUGUAGCGGUGAAAUGCGCAGAUAUCAGGAGGAACACCGAUGGCGAAGGCAGGUCUCUGGGCAUUAACUGACGCUGAGGAGCGAAAGCAUGGGUAGCAAACAGG